rnacentral:rRNA from 1 species
GACGGGGGGGCAAGUGUUCUUCGGAAUGACUGGGCGUAAAGGGCACGUAGGCGGUGAAUCGGGUUGAAAGUGAAAGUCGCCAAAAAGUGGCGGAAUGCUCUCGAAACCAAUUCACUUGAGUGAGACAGAGGAGAGUGGAAUUCGUGUGUAGGGGUAGAAAUCCGUAAUAUACGAAGGAACGCCAAAGCUGAAGGAGCAGCUCUCUGGGUCCCUACCGACGCUGGGGUGCGAAAGCAUGGGAGCGAACAGG